CUCAGGAUGAACGCUAGCUACAGGCUUAACACAUGCAAGUCGAGGGGAAACGGGCGCCAAGCUUGCUUGGCGCAGUCGUCGACCGGCGAAUGGGUGAGUAACGCGUAUCCAACCUGGCUUCAAGCAGGGAACAGGCUUUCGAAAGAAAGAUUAAUACCCUAUGUGGUCCUCGGAAGACAUCAGAGGAGGACGAAAGAUUCAUCGCUUGAAGAUGGGGAUGCGUCUGAUUAGGCAGUUGGCGGGACAAGGGCCCACCAAACCGACGAUCAGUAGGGGUUCUGAGAGGAAGGUCCCCCACAUUGGAACUGAGACACGGUCCAAACUCCUACGGGAGGCAGCAGUGAGGAAUAUUGGUCAAUGGGCGGAAGCCUGAACCAGCCAAGUAGCGUGCAGGAUGACGGCCCUAUGGGUUGUAAACUGCUUUUGAAGGGGAGUAAAGUGAGUGACUUGUCAUUCAUUGCAAGUACCCUUGGAAUAAGGACCGGCUAAUUCCGUGCCAGCAGCCGCGGUAAUACGGAAGGUCCGGGCGUUAUCCGGAUUUAUUGGGUUUAAAGGGAGCGUAGGCUGCCCGGCAAGCGUGCUGUGAAAUACAGUGGCCCAACCACUGGACUGCAGCGCGAACUGUCGGGCUUGAGGGCGCACGACGCAGGCGGAAUUUGUGGUGUAGCGGUGAAAUGCUUAGAUAUCACGAAGAACCCCGAUUGCGAAGGCAGCUUGCGGGAGCGCGACUGACGCUGAAGCUCGAAAGUGCGGGUAUCAAACAGGAUUAGAUACCCUGGUAGUCCGCACGGUAAACGAUGGAUGCCCGUUCUGCGGCCUUCGGGCCGCGGGACCAAGCGAAAGCAUUAAGCAUCCCACCUGGGG
rnacentral:rRNA from 1 species